UGGGGAAUUUUGGACAAUGGGCGCAAGCCUGAUCCAGCCAUGCCGCGUGCGGGAAGAAGGCCUUCGGGUUGUAAACCGCUUUUGUCAGGGAAGAAAUCUUCUGAGUUAAUACCUCGGGAGGAUGACGGUACCUGAAGAAUAAGCACCGGCUAACUACGUGCCAGCAGCCGCGGUAAUACGUAGGGUGCAAGCGUUAAUCGGAAUUACUGGGCGUAAAGCGUGCGCAGGCGGUUUUGUAAGACAGAGGUGAAAUCCCCGGGCUCAACCUGGGAACUGCCUUUGUGACUGCAAGCUUGAGUGCGGCAGAGGGGGGAUGGAAUUCCGCGUGUAGCAGUGAAAUGCGUAGAUAUGCGGAGGAACACCGAUGGCGAAGGCAAUCCCCUGGGCCUGCACUGACGCUCAUGCACGAAAGCGUGGGGAGCAAACAGGAUUAGAUACCCUGGUAGUCCACGCCCUAAACGAUGUCAACUGGUUGUUGGGAAGGUUCCUUCUCAGUAACGUAGCUAACGCGUGAAGUUGACCGCCUGGGGAGUACGGCCGCAAGGUUGAAACUCAAAUGAAUUGAC
rnacentral:rRNA from 1 species